CAGUGUGUAGUUUAGUAAUAAAUAUAAUAUUUGGGUUAUUAAGAUUGGGUCACUGAU
rnacentral:tRNA from 1 species